AACGAACGCUGGCGGCAGGCUUAACACAUGCAAGUCGAACGGGUGUAGCAAUACAUCAGUGGCAGACGGGUGAGUAACACGUGGGAACCUUCCUAGAGGUACGGAACAACGCAGGGAAACUUGCGCUAAUACCGUAUACGCUCUUGCGAGGAAAGAUUUAUCGCCUUUAGACGGGCCCGCGUCGGAUUAGCUAGUUGGUAAGGUAACGGCUUACCAAGGCGACGAUCCGUAGCUGAUCUGAGAGGAUGAUCAGCCACACUGGGACUGAGACACGGCCCAGACUCCUACGGGAGGCAGCAGUGGGGAAUCUUGGACAAUGGGCGCAAGCCUGAUCCAGCCAUGCCGCGUGAGUGAAGAAGGCCUUCGGGUUGUAAAGCUCUUUGUUCAGGGACGAUAAGUGACGGUACCUGAAGAAUAAGCCCCGGCAAACUUCGUG
rnacentral:rRNA from 1 species